rnacentral:rRNA from 1 species
UACGUAGGGUGCGAGCGUUAAUCGGAAUUACUGGGCGUAAAGGGCUCGUAGGUGGCCAACUAAGUCAGACGUGAAAUCCCUCGGCUUAACCGGGGAACUGCGUCUGAUACUGGAUGGCUUGAGUUUGGGAGAGGGACGCGGAAUUCCAGGUGUAGCGGUGAAAUGCGUAGAUAUCUGGAGGAACACCGGUGGCGAAGGCGGCGUCCUGGACCAACACUGACACUGAGGAGCGAAAGCCAGGGGAGCAAACGGG